rnacentral:rRNA from 1 species
UAGGGAAUCUUCCACAAUGGGCGAAAGCCUGAUGGAGCAACGCCGCGUGUGUGAUGGAGGCUUUCGGGUCGUAAAGCACUGUUGUAUGGGAAGAACAGCUAGAAUAGGAAAUGAUUUUAGUUUGACGGUACCAUACCAGAAAGGGACGGCUAAAUACGUGCCAG